CUACGUGCCAGCAGCCGCGGUAAUACGGAAGGUCCGGGCGUUAUCCGGAAUUAUUGGGUUUAAAGGGAGCGCAGGCGGGAGUAUAAGUCAGCUGUUAAAUACCAGGGCCCAACUCUGUUAUGCAGUUGAAACUAUAUUUCUUGAGUACGCACAGGGAUGGCGGAAUUCAGGGUGUAGCGGUGAAAUGCUUAGAUAUCCUGAAGAACUCCGAUCGCGAAGGCAGCCAUCCGGAGCGUAACUGACGCUGAGGCUCGAAGGUGCGGGUAUCGAACAGGAUUAGAUACCCUGGUAGUCCGCACGGUAAACGAUGAAUACUCGCAGUUCGGUCUUUAUGAUCGAGUUGUCCAGCGAAAGCGUUAAGUAUUCCACCUGGGGAGUACGCCGGCAACGGUGAAACUCAAAGGAAUUGACGGGGGCCCGCACAAGCGGAGGAACAUGUGGUUUAAUUCGAUGAUACGCGAGGAACCUUACCCGGGCUUGAAC
rnacentral:rRNA from 1 species